UACGAAGGGGGCUAGCGUUGCUCGGAAUCACUGGGCGUAAAGCGCACGUAGGCGGCUUGUUAAGUCAGGGGUGAAAUCCUGGAGCUCAACUCCAGAACUGCCUUUGAUACUGAGGAUCUUGAGUACGGGAGAGGUGAGUGGAACUGCGAGUGUAGAGGUGAAAUUCGUAGAUAUUCGCAAGAACACCAGUGGCGAAGGCGGCUCACUGGCCCGUAACUGACGCUGAGGCACGAAAGCGUGGGGAGCAAACAGGG
rnacentral:rRNA from 1 species